rnacentral:rRNA from 1 species
CCUACGGGUGGCAGCAGUGGGGAAUAUUGGGCAAUGGGCGCAAGCCUGACCCAGCAAUGCCGCGUGAGGGAAGAAGGCUUUCGGGUUGUAAACUUCUGUGACAGGGGAAGAGCAGAAGGCGGUACCCUGAAAACAAGCCACGGCUAACUACGUGCCAGCAGCCGAGGUAAUACGAAGGUGGCAAGCGUUGUCCGGAUUUACUGGGUGUAAAGGGCGUGUAGCCGGGAAGGCAAGUCAGAUGUGAAAGCUUGAGGCUCAACCUCCAAAUUGCAUUUGAAACUGUGUUUCUUGAGUACUGGAGAGGCAGACGGAAUUCCUGGUGUAGCGGUGGAAUGCGUAGAUAUAAGGAGGAACACCAGUGGCGAAGGCGGUCUGCUGGACAGCAACUGACGGUGAGGCGCGAAAGCGUGGGGAGCAAACAGGAUUAGAUACCCGGGUAGUC